CCUACGGGCGGCAGCAGUGAGGAAUAUUGGUCAAUGGGCGCGAGCCUGAACCAGCCAAGUAGCGUGAAGGAUGAAUGCCCUACGGGUUGUAAACUUCUUUUAUAAAGGAAUAAAGUGAGGCACGUGUGCCUUUUUGUAUGUACUUUAUGAAUAAGGAUCGGCUAACUCCGUGCCAGCAGCCGCGGUAAUACGGUGGAUCCGAGCGUUAUCCGGAUUUAUUGGGUUUAAAGGGAGCGUAGAUGGGUUGUUAAGUCAGUUGUGAAAGUUUGCGGCUCAACCGUAAAAUUGCAAUUGAUACUGGCAGCCUUGAGUACAGUAGAGGUAGGCGGAAUUCGUGGUGUAGCGGUGAAGUGCAGAUAUCACGAAGAACUCCGAUUGCGAAGGCAGCUUACUAAACUGCCACUGACAUUGAUGCUCGAAAGUGUGGGUAUCAAACAGGAUUAGAUACCCGAGUAGUC
rnacentral:rRNA from 1 species